CGUGGGCACUGCGAGCGGCCGCGGCCUGGCCAGGCCCUGUCUGCGGCCCCCGACCCGGCCAGUCUUGCAGCUGAGGGCCGUGGCAGCCGUUUGCGACGCCCGAUUCAGGAAUUUUAGUUUUCUCAUCUGGAAAAACCAAUAGCAAUGCCUGGAUUAUCUAUACCUCACAGGAUUUUUGUGAGCUUAAAGUAAAUAAUAUGUGAAGGAAUAUCUACAAACAGGAGCCCGUGCUCAGGAGACCAGUAAUGUUGAUAUGAAGGCUAUAACAUUCAUGACGUUUUAAGAAUGGUUGAGUAUCUGAACCAUUUUAACCUAAAAAAGAAGACUUAAAGGAGAAUAUAAUAAUGACUUUCAGAUACUUAGGUGACUGACAUAUGAAAGAGGGACUCAUACCAGGACCAUGAGUAGAAGACAUACAGUUGGACUCUUCAUAAAAUGGAAAGAGCUUGUUCACUGGUAAGUUAAUUUGUGCUGGAGUAGGAAUUUGAUUGACACAUAUGAAGGCUUGGAAGAUGGAGUUUAUGCAAAGGAUAGAGAUUUGCAGUUGAUUUUUUUUCUUCCUAAAGAAAUAUAAGAUACUAUUGUGGGCCAGGCGUGGUGGCUUACAUCUGUAAUCCCAGCAUUUUAGGAGGCCAAGGUGGGUGGAUAGCUUGAGAUCAGGAGUUCAAGACCAGCCUGGCCAACAUGGUGAAACUCCAUCUCUACUAAAAUACAAAAAUUAGCUGGGCGUGGUGGUGGGUGCCUGUAAUCCCAGCUACCCGAGAGACUGAGGCAGGAGAAUCGCUUGAAGGCGGAGGUUGCAGUGAGCUGGGAAUCGCACCACUAUACUCCAGCCUGGGCGACAGAGCAAGACUCUGUCUCAAAAACAAAACAAAACAACAGCAACAACAACAACAACGAAAAGAUACUAUUGUGGGCAGUCCCUGUGCUGGAGUUCGAAAAAUGAAGACUGUCCCACCCUACGGAGAAGACCAAUUUGCCACAAUAACUAUAAGAAAAUGUAAUAAAAAUAUGUACGAAGUACUAAAGAUGUGUGGACAGGGUACUUUCUAACUGGAGUGAAUGGCUUAUAACAGAUUUCAGAUUGUCAGUAAACCUUUAUUGAGCACCUGCUUACUGUAUGCCAGUACUAUGUUGUGACAUUCAUAUAUUAGUUCUCGCGGUAAUCUUAGUAGGUAGCUGCUAACCCCAUUUUCCAAAUGAAAAAUCAAUAACCAGAUGUGGUGGAAUGUGCCUGUAGUCCUAGCUACUAGGAAGGCUGAGGUAGGAGGAUUGCUUGAGGCUAGGAAUUCGGGGCUGCAGUGUACCAUGAUCACUGAUGCCUGUGAAUAGCCAUUGCCCUCCAGCCUGGGCAGUGUAGUAAAAUUCUGUCUCUUUAAAAUAAAACAUAAAUAACAAAUGAAAAAUCAGGUGAUAGGUACAGACUUGGUAUAACUUAUUUGAAUAAUUGUCCACCUAAUCAGUAGAAUCAGUUUCUGCUUUUGCCCCAUCUUUAUAUUAUGUGAGAAAUACUGAGUUGGGCUGCUAACACUUAUUUUGCCAAGAAGGUUUAAUGACUUUAUACCAGGAGUGAUGUACAAAAUGUGGCAGUAAAGGGUUUUCAUCAGAACUGGGGGAAAGGGAGAUGAUGAUUAACACUAAGGAAUCUUGGGACCACACUGAAGACCAUUGUGUGACAUAGUUUAAGGGAUUGCUUAACCCUCUGGAUAUCUGCAUUAAGGAGCCUUAUUCCCUUCCCCAUUCUCUAAGUGGGGCAGAUUUCUGCCCUUAACUCAGAUAUUUGUACAAUAAUAAGCCUCAUUCACCAUUUAACCUUUUUUUUCUUGCUUGGCCUUUCCCACUAUCCUUUCUGGCUUAAAGUUUCAUUUCUUGGAGAAUUUGUAGGAGAAAUAGAAAAAUCAUGUUGGACUUAAGUGUCACUAUGUGAAUUUUCAGCCUUAGCCAUGAAUAAAUCUUAUUAAAAAGUACUACUGAGUAGUAUUCUUAAGAGAUUUUUAGACACAGGUAGGAGAAAUCAAAAUUGUCUGUUUCACAGUGCAUUAUUUUACUUGCAGGCUUUCUUGUAAUUUUCUUAUCAGAUCGACAUUUAAAGUAGCUAUAUUUGGUCACAGUAGAAGUUUUGCUGGUUAUUUAAGUGCAGUGUCACUAUGGAGGUAGUUGAAUGAAGUCAAUAAAAGUACUGCUUACAUAGCGUUGAUGAAAGUUCCUCUUUACACUUUACAUAUGUAAGCAAGCAUGGUAAACAGUGGCUUACGUAUCCUUCCAGAAAUUUUCUGUACCUCUAUAAGCCUGUGUGUGUGUACAUGUGUCCCAAUUCUACCAGUAGGAUUAUACAAUCACUACUGUUCUACAACUUUAUUUUUUUCAUUUGAGGGUAAAUCUUGAGUGUCUUUCUGUAUCACCACAUAUAAAUCUCUCAUUUUUUAAAAACUCUCAGAUAACUGAACUACCAUUUGUCAGCUUCUGAUUCUGUUAGUUGAGGUCUGUGGUAGCAAAUAACAGAAACCAACUCUGGUUAAUGUAAACACAGAAGAUUUGAUUGGAAAUAUUGGAUGGUUCACAGACAGGAAAGCAGUAAAAUCAAGUUUGAAAAUGGGCAAAAUGAAGGAAGGCAAGGCACAGCCAAAUUGCUGUUAUCAAUACGGCCUGCUUGAGAAGAUGCUGGAUGCAUACCACUGGCCUCUACUGCUCUCUCAUCUCCACUGUAGCCACCAUGUAUUGUCUCUUGAUGGUCCUUGAUAUUGCAGCACUUUUUCAAGAUUCUAAGUUCUAGAUAGGAGUAUCUGAUUGGCUCAGUCUAGGACACCUGUCUCCCUGCCCUAGCUGCUAGGGAGCUCAAAGAAGAGUGCUCUGAUCCUAGGUAGCCAGAAACAGCAAAUGUCCACCUACUCCUGCUUUGAUGAAUAUCGUUAUAGAUAAUAUUGCUGUUAGCCUUCUUGUGCAUUUGUGCAAGAACUAAAAUUCCUGGGUCAACUGGUAUUUACAUUUUGAUAGGUACUGCCAAAUUACCUUCCAUUAAAAGUAUGAAUUUAGAAAGAAUAUUUAAUUUUGACUUUGGUAUAUAUUUCAGGUACUUACAAUUCAACAGGCUAACCAACAUUAACUGUGUAUAUUAACUGAUGCCUAGUCUAUGGGAAUUUAGCAGUUUGAUUUUGUUACUGUUAAUACAUUAUUUCUUUGGCUCUUGUUAAUUGAAUCUGUCAAUUGCACAAGAGUUUUUCUGCUUACAGCCUUUGACUUUGAUACAAACCAUUUGUACUAUAAUAUACGACUUAGAGAUCAUGUACAGUAAAUUUAUUAGAUAAUUAUAUUUUACAUUUACAUCCAGUUUGAUAUAUACUAUCAUGAAAAAGUUUUCUCUUCAAGCAACUUUAUUGAAAUAUAUUUCUGAAAUACUGCAGUUCUUAUUUGGAAUUUUUAGUUAUGAAAGGAUUAGUAAAAUGGUCAGAUUAAAGUGUGUUAAGAUACAUGACUUAUCUAUGUGACCUACUUGGAACACUUAUUUGGGAUAAACUCAGCAUAGUGCAAAUAGUAUUCUUUUAAAAACAUUUCUCUUUAUUAAAUUUCUGCAGUGUCAGAAUCAUUUCACUUAUAGAAUGUUCCUUUCAUCCCUAGAAUUGCUAGUUGGAAAGUGAGGUAACAUUCUUUUUGGUUAGCAAAUGUAUUGAUUACAAAUAGCAGUAUGUAUCUGAGAAAGAACAAAUUCAGGAGGUUGAGUGGCGCAGUGGGGAAAGAAAAUAUGAUUCAGAAUCAAAAAACUUGAUUUUGAGUUUCUGCCUCUUAUUAUUUAUGUUAAAGUGCCAACAAAUGAUUCAGUCAGAUUUUUCCUCUCAUCUCUGUCCUCGUAAAUAUCAAUUAAAAGAGAAUAGAAGUAUUCCAGAUUCUUCCCAGUUUAUUUAUUUUACCAUCAUUACUAGCAAAAAUGUAGAUGAGAUCUUUUGUUGUAUAUGAGUUGGAUUAGACACUACACAGUAAUUUCUAGGUUUGUUUUUUAUAAGCCACAGUAUAAGGUAUAUUUUACAUUGCAAUCUAGGAUUCAUGUGUGUAAAUGCAUAUAUAUCUCUAAAACAAAAAUUUCUAAGUGUUCUUAUUCUAAUCGUAUAAAUAUUUUGUUAUUUUUUUUUUUUUGGAAACAGAGUUUUGCUCUUGUUGCCUGGGCUGGAGUGUAAUGGCGUGCUCUCAGCUCACUGCAACCUCUGCCUCCCGGGUUCAAGUGAUUCUCGUGCCCCAGCCUCCCAAGUAGCUGGGAUUACAGGCAUGUGCUACCACGCCCAGCUAAUUUUGUGUUUUUAGUAGAGACGGGGUUUUUCACCAUGUUGGUCAGGCUGGUCUCAAACUUGUAACCUCAGGUAAUCCACCCGCCUCGACCUCCCAAAGUGCAGGGAUUACAGAUGUGAGCCACCACACCUGGCCCAUCUAAUUCUUUUGUAAUGCUAGUUCCAAUCCACUAAAUUGGUUUCAUGACCUAACUAGUUAUGGCUUACUUUCUAAAAAACAUCACACCAGAGGACCUCUCUAGUUCCAACAAAACCGACAUCCUACAAUUCUAAGAGGUAUUUAUAACUGUUUUCUUUUUUAUUUUAUUUUAUUUUAUUUAUUUUCAGGUGGAGUCUCAUUCUGUUGCCCAGUGGUAGUGCAGUGGCUCACUGCAGCCUUGACCUCCCUGGCUCAAGCAAUCUUCCUGCCUCAGCCUCCUGAGUAGUUGGGACUGCAGGUGCACACAACCAUGGCUAGCUAAUUUUUGAUUUUUUGUAGAGACAGGAUCUCACUAGGUUGCCCCAACUGGUGUCAAACUCCUGGCCUCAAGCAGUCCUCUCACCUCAGCCUCCCAGUGCUGGGAUUACAAGCAUGAGCUACCAUGCCUGGCCGUAUAGCCCAGUUUUAUUCUUCCUGAUUUUUCUUAAACAUUCUAGCCAUUUUCCACUAUUAAGAUAAACUAGUGAGGAAAGUUCCAUGAGUUGGGAGGAAGAAAGGAAUAGGGAUGCCAUUUUUGCCACAUUCUUACUUGCUAUUAGAUUUAAUACCUCUGUAACUUAUUCCCUAAUAAAAUUAUCGAAUGCUGUAUUUUCCAACUUUUUAAGGUUUAAAUCGUAUCUAGCUUUGUAUUUGCAAAAAUACUGCACUUGAAGACAAACUAUGUCUUUCCUAAGAAAAUUUAAAUUCUACCUAUAUUCAAAUACCCUCAACUUUACCAAAUUAAAUUUGGCUUAUCUAAUGAAGGAUACAUUAUUCAUGCUAGUUGUAUCAUUUGGAGUUCAAUUAGGAAACAGAAACUACACAGGAAUUUGAACAGAGAAAGUCUAAUGUAAACAGUCCUUAGCUGUAACGUAGAAUUAGAGUAAUGGGAGAAUUGGCUACGAGGUAGAGAGAACUCUGAAGACUGUGGUAACAGCAGAUAGGGUAGUAGUCACUACCUCUAAGGCUAUGCAGAGCAUGGAAGGAAGGACAGAUCUGACAUUCAAACCUCAUUGGAGGGGCAUGGCUGAGGCCUACUGGAUGUCAGAGACAUUAACUAAGGGGCUGAAAUGGGCUGGACAGCUGCCCUCUGUGUGCUCAGCUUCUAUGGUGUGUGUGUGGCCUGAGAACUCCAUGAAAAGCAACCUGAAGGAGUGCUGGGGGCAGAUGGCCAUAGAGGGGUGCUGAGUGCUGAUGAAGCUGUCAUGCCCUGUGCCCUACCAAGGUAGAAAGGUUUCAGUCUCACUUGAAGGACAGUGAAGGGUGGAUUUGGAGCAAGAAGGCAGUCAAUUGAUAACUGGCACAUGAGAGUACUCACUACCUUUUGAAAGGAAAACAACACUUAAGUUAGGGGCAGAUAAUGAUACAGAUACAAUUCUAAUUUAAUGCAGUCAUAUUUUCAUUCUCUAGCGUCAUUUCCCCAUCUGAAAAAUCCACUGUUGAAUAAAAUUUUGUUUUAGAAAUUGAUAGUUUUUUUUCUUGAGAUGUAGGCUAGAGUUGUUUGAUAGAAUAGUCUAUUACUUUGUGAUCUUUCCAGUGAGCAUGAGAUGCAUUAAUUCAUUCCCUGAGCAUCUGCUUUUAAGCCAGUCCACUGUGCAAGGUCGUUUUCAAAAUACAGAAAGGCAAAUGUUACUGCUCCUGAGGAGUAAAGCUAGAUAUAUAAACUGAUAAUAAAAGUACCAUGUGAUAAGUGCUUAAUCAAGUAUGUACGUAUAGAGUAAUUUGGCCUUAGCAGAUAAAGUGAGCUUGUCUUUAGGUACUGGGAAAGGAAAAAGAAGUGAUUUUUUCCUAGAUGCAUUAUCUCUUUUAUUACAUAUUAUCUCUUUUAUUUCUCACAGUAGCCAAUGAAUAAGGUGGUAUAAUUACCAUUACACAAAUAAGCAAACAAGGCCUAGAAACCUGAAGCAACUUUUUCAAUCAGCGUCAUACACAGGAUUCAAAUCUAGCCCAGUAAAUAUUUGUUAUCUCUUAAACUGGUCGUGUACUUUGAAAUGAAGAAGGCAUAAAUUCACCAAAUAUGAAACGUAGGACUAAAUGCAAUUGUGAAGGAUUUAAAAAGUAGAUUUGAUGCAUCCUUGCCCUUAUGAGGUUUAUAGUCUAGCUGUGCUUGUAGAAUAUAAUAAGGGCUCUGACUGAGGAACUGGAAGAAAGUAUGGCAUUUUGUAAGCGGGGGAAUGCCUUUUUCCUCCUUCUUGGAAAAUCAUAGGGUACAAUAACAUUUGAACUGGUUCUGACAAGUAGAAAUGGUAAAAAAUCAAAAUAUAAAAAUAGGAGUAAACAGGAAGGUAGUUGUCUGCUAAGUUCCACACCUUGUACUGUCCUUGAUAUGAACAGUCCAGUUUAACUUUAGUAUGGACCCUGUGUCAGGCUGUUAUGAGAAAUAAGGCUGGAAAGAUAAAUCCAUUAAACAUGGUGGACCUAGGGAGGUACAUGUGACAGGUUAAGGUAGAGUUUGAACUCUAUUUUGUAGACAGUGGAACGCAUUGAAGUUUUUGAAAGAAAGAGUAUACAACUAGAAUUAUAAUUAACUUUAAAACCAAAUACGGUAUAUAUUCAUAUUGUAAUGUAGUAGCAUAGACAUACUAGAUGUUAAAUGUAAUCCUUUUCUUCUGUCUCAUCCAUUCUCUUUUUGUCUUUUUCUCAUCCAUUCCUGGUGCAGUCAUAUGUAGAAUAGAUUGGAAGGGUACGGGUAUAUAGUUAGAUGGUAAUUAAAAUGUUCCAGAGAAGAGGUUCCUAGAGGCCUUGUCUAAGGCAGUGGUAAUGAAAAUAAAAGGAGGUUACAGAUGAGAGCUGGAAUUAUCAGGGUUUAGUGAAGGAUAUCAUAGGGAGUGAAAAGUGUUAAAAAUGAAGAUCAUUUUCAGACGCUUCUCCAUUUCUGAAAAGUGUAUACUUCAAAUACUGCCUGCCUGCCUCCCUCCCUCCCUUCCUUCUUUUUGAGACAGUCUCUCUCCGUCGCUCAGGCUGAAGUGCAAUGGCGCAAUCUUGGCUCACUGCAACUUCUGCCUCACAGGUUCAAGCGAUUACCGUGCCUCAGCCUCUCAAGUAGCUGGGAUUACAGGCGUGUGCCACCACGCCUGGCUAAUUUUGUUACAUUUUUAGUAGAGAUGGGCUUUCCCCAUGUUGGCCAGGCUGGCCUGGAACUUCUGACCUCAAGUGAUCUGCCCACCUUGGCCUUCCAAAGUGCUGGGAUUACAAGUGUGAGCCACCGUGCCCAGCCCAUUUUUUUUAUAUAAGAGUAAUGCCUACACAUGGUAAUGUUAAAACAAUAUGGAAGGGCAGAAGAUUGGAUAUGGUGAUGAGAGAUGACAUUAUAUAAGACACAAUGGGGAAAAAGCUUUUCCUUAUGUGAAAACUCUGGGGCAGAAGUCAACUCUUCUAGUGUGGGCUGUGCAUAGUAAUUUCCUUCCCAAGAAUACAGUAUGGAAAAGAGGGGGAAAGUUCCUUUCCAUUGGAGAAGCCUGACAGACUACCUUAGCCAGGUUAUGAAGGUUAAAGUCAACAGUGAUCAGUCACAUUGAUAGUAUGUACCCUUGAUAUGAUGUGAUGAAAAUGGUAUUCUUUCUCUGUCAUCUUCCUUCCAAACACUUAUAAUCCCAGUCUAAUCAUGAAAAAAUUAGACAAAUUUCAACACAGGGCAUGUUACAAAAUACCUAAUCAGUACUCAAAACUGUCAAGAACAUCAAAAAAGGAAAGCAUGAGAAACUGUUACAACCAAGAGGAACCUUAAGAAGGCCUGACAAUUAAAUGUAAUAUGGUUUCUUAGAUGUGAUCCUGAGACAACAAAAGGACAUUAGGUAAAAACUAAGGGAAAAAAUUAGAACUUUAAGGGAGUUAAAGGUAAAGAGAUUUUAUAAAGAGUGCAGGAUAAAGAAUAAUCCCAGCACUUUGGGAGGCAGUCAGAUCACCUGAAGUCAGGAGUUCCAGAUCAGCCUGGCCAACAUGAUGAAACCCCAUCUCUACUAAAAAUACAAAAAUUAGCCAGGCGUGGUGGCAAGCACCUGUAAUCCCAGCUACUCAGCAGGCUGAGGCAGGAGAAGUGCUUGAACCCAGGAGGCAGAGGUUGCAGUGAGCUAAGAUCACACCAUUGCACUCCAGACUGGGCAACGAGCACAACUCCAUUAACCAUUGUGUAACCAGUUAAGGUGCUUAGUAAGUAGUUGCUGAAUAUAUCAUAUGGUUACAGUUCUUCAUAAGUCUAUUUUUAAGGUCUAGGCCUUCAGUGAGGCCUACUUCAUCUAGUGGUUGAAACACAGGUCUAGAUUUGGUUUCCUGGAGUCCACGUCACACCCAAGCUGAGCGAGAUAAUCACAGAAACUUGUCAGUGUUCUUUCUCUUCUAGCAUUGACAACAGAGGUUAUUGUGUUUUCCCCCUGAAACCAGACAGUUAGAUAAAUUAUUUUAUACAUUCACAGGCAGAAAAUGUUCAUCUUUGAAAAAAUCAGAUGUGGCCUGGAGCAGCACCCUCCCCUACCUCACCAAAAAUAAAUAAAAAUCAGAAGGAAAAAAAAUUUAAUAAAAAUCAGGAGAAUACAAAGGAAGAUACUUCUACAUUUGUAAAGAGAGGUGUGUCUUAUGGAAAGCUUCCUAGAGGAUAUGACACUUGAGUUAAGUCUUAAAGAUGAGUAGCUGAGUAGACAAAAGAAGUCGCUGGUUAUUAGAGAAAGAACACUGAAUAGGCUGCGUGCAGUGGCUCAUGCCUGUAAUCCCAGCACUUUGGGAGACCAAGUCAGGCAGAUCACGAGGUCAGGAGAUCGAGACCAUUGUGGCUAACACGGUGAAACCCCAUCUCUACUAAAAAUACAAAAAAUUAGCCGGGCGUGGUGGCAUGUGCCUGUAGUCCCAGCUACUCGGGAGCUGAGGCAGGAGAAUCGCUUGAACCUGGGAGGCAGAGGUUGCAGUGAGUGUCGAGAUCGCGCCACUGUACUCUUGCCUGACGACAGAGUGAGAAUCCGUCAAAAAAAAAGAAAGAACACUGAAUAAAUGUAUGCAGAGGCCCAAUGUGUAAGAGAUACUGACAUAUAGGAACAUAGGCUUUCAGCUGAGUUUAUAUGUCAUUUACUCAUUUUUGUGAUUUUGGUCUCAUCCCAGAAGUGUUUUAAUAUUGGGGGUACUUUAAUAUUGUAAAAGAAAGAAACAGAAAUAGUAGUAGAUGAUUGCAUCAAGGGAAAGAGGGUAGAGGGUUAGUUCUUCAUAUUGUCCAUUUCUUUUUUUAAUUGAUUCUUUAGCAACUCUCAGCUUUGUUAGCGUACUUUUUUCUGCACUUUGCAGUUUCCAGGAGAAAGAUCUUUUACAUUCUGAAAGCCACAUCCUCUUGGGAACUUUAUUUUUAUUACCAAACUUGAUGCCUGGAAUAUAGUAGGCAUGCAUUCAAUUAAUGUUCUUUGAAUAACUAUCUCUUCUCUUCCCUCCUAGCUUUCACUGGACAGCCUUCUCAAAUAAAUGCUCUGUAUUCCCAGUUUUCUUUUCCCACACCACUCAAUAUUUCUUGUGUUUGAGUAACUUACUGAUUGCACUAGGAAUUAUUAUAGACAGAAUCAACAAGACUGGGAAACUAACAACGUAAGAGUCUUAAGAGGAAUGAAAGAUGACUCUUGAUUAGUGUAUUAGGUUUUUAGGGCCACUGUGACAACUUACGAGCUUGGUGGCUUAAAAUCACAGAAAGUUGUUCUGUCACAUUUCUGGAGGCCAGAAGCCUGAUAUUAGGUGUGUUCUCUCAGAAGGCUCCAGGGAGAAUCCUGCCUUGCCUCUUCCAGCUUGUGGUGGCUCCAAGCGUUCAUUGGCUUCUGGCAGCAGAACUGUACUCUCUAUCCCUGUCUUCAUUCACUUUGCUUUCUCCCCUGUGUCUUUGUCUCCUUCUGCCUUUCUCCUAGGACACUUGUCAUUGGAUUUAGGCCCCACCCUAAAUCCAGGAUCCUUAAUUACAUCUGCAAAGAUCCUUUUUCCAAAUAAAGUCACAUUCGUGGUUCUAGGGUCAGGACUUGGACAUAUCUUUUGGGGGGCCAUUAUCUAUUCAAUUUACUACAGUAAACCACCAGAGAGUAUGUAGCUGAGGAAAUGGAGGUUAUUCUCUUAGAUGCAAGGGGAUAAUGUAUGGCGAACCAGCAGCAUGAAAACAAUUCCGAAAUCGUUCUAUUUAAAAAGAGAGUGAUAGCUGGGCACAGUGGCUCAUGCCUGUAAUCCCAGCACUUUGGGAGGCUAAGGAAGGUGGAUCACCUGAGGUCAGGAGUUCGGUUCAAGACCAGCUUGGCCAGUAUGGUGAAACCCCGUCUCUACUAAAAAUACGAAAAUUAGCCAGUCAUGUUGGCGGGUGCCAGUAAUCCCAGCUACUCAGUAGGCUGAGGCAGGAGAAUCACUUGAACUCGGGGGGCGGAGGUUGCAGUGAGUGGAGAUUGCACCACUGCACUCCAGCCUGGGUGACAGAGUGAGACUCCGUCUCAAAAAAAAAAAAAAGUGAUAAAUUGCAGAUAUUUUCUUCAAUUCUUUUUUUUUUUUUUCUCACUGUUGCCCAGGCUGAAGUGUAGUGGCGUGAUCUCGGCUUACUGCAGCCUCCGCCUCCUGGAUUCAAGCUAUUUCGGCUAAUUUUUAUAUUUUUAGUAGAGACAGGGUUUCACCAUAUUGGCCAAGCUGGUCUCGAACUCCUGACCUCAAGUGAUCUGCCCACCUCAGCCUCCCAAAGUGCUAGGAUUACAGGCGUGAGCCACCACGCCCAGCCCAAUUCAUUUUUUAAAAUAUAUAUUUAAGUUUUUUAACUUGGUCAGGUGAGUUUAGUUGGAGAUAAUGCUCUCUUAGCUGUAUUCAUCUUGAAGAAUCCUCAGUUUAACAUUUGUAUUAAAACUUUAAAUUUGCAAAAUGCUACCACAUUUUAUCAUUUGAGCCUCAUGACAUUCCUCUGAAGUAGGAAUGCUAUUAUUUUUUUCCCUAGUGCCUUUUUUUUUUUUUUUUUUUUUAAAUAGAGAUGGGGUCUCAGUAUGUUGCCCAGGCUGGUCUUUAAACUCCUUGCCUCAAGUGAUUCUCCCACCUCCGCCUCCCAAAGUGCUGGGAUUAUAGGUGUGAGCCCCUGGCCUGUAUUUUCAUUUUGCAAUUUUAUACAUGUGGAAGUGGAGCUCAGUCUCCAUAACUAACUUGCUUGAGGUCACAGGUUAUGAAAUUAUCCAGAUGGAUUUGAACAGUGGUGUUAAAACUGUAAAGCCUGUUGUUUAUUAAUUUUCUGUUUGAAAAGGGCAGACUUUAUUUUUUCAUGUUUCACGGUUUUUCAGUUUGUAAUGUAAUUACAAAAUGGCUAGUUUUUUUGUAUUUUUGGUAGAGAUGGGGUUUCACCAUAUUGCCCAGGCUGGUUUUGAACUCCUGAGCUCAAGCAGUCCGCCUGCCACGGCCUCCCAAGGUACUGGGAUUACAGGCGUGAGCCACCAUGCCUGACUUGCGUUUUCACAUAUUUUAAAUUAAAGCUGUUUGGCUUGUGGUUGUAAAAAUAGAAUCAUCACUAAUAUUGACGAAUCCUGCAAUUAGUGGGAAGUUGGUUUAGGACAAGGAAAAUGAACUCCAGUAGAAUACCCAGCACCUACUCGUAUUUCUUGUGAAGGACUCUUUGCCUUAAAAUGACCAGAGGACUUAAUUAGAUUCUUGGGCCCCACGAAAGACGUGCUAAAUCUCUGGGAUGGGACUUCAGGAAUCUGCAUUUUUUUUUUAAUUUUUAUUUUUGGAGAUAAGGUUUCACACUGUCACCCAGGCUGUAGUGCAGUGGGACGAUAACAUCUCAGCCUCCUGAACUCAGGUGAUCCUCCCUCCUCAUCCUCCAAGUAGCUGAGACUACUGCCAUGCACCACCAUACCCAGCUUAUUUUUUGUAGAGGUGCCAUGUUGCCCAGGCUGGUCACGCACUCCUGGGCUCAAGCAGUCACUCCUCCUGCCUUGGCUUCCCGAAGCACUGGGUUAUAGGUGUGAGCCAUCACACCAGGCAAGGAAUCUGCAUUUUUAAUGGGUACUACUUAUAAUUGUUACCUCAUUGACUUGGUAUUUAAAUAUUCAGCUCUCACAGUGAUGUCCUACUGAGGGACAGUGACUCCGACCCUGAGUAAAGGAAGAAGGUAAGGUAUGGUAGCAACUCUAAUAGCAGCAUUAAUAAGUGUAGUGAUUUGUAUUAAUUACAGAGUGGUAAUGAUCUGUGUAUAUCCAAGAUAUCCACACCAGGCCUUAAAAAACAAUGUUUUGCACAUCAUUAAACAAAUAUUCAUUAAACAAAUUCAUUAUUCAUUAAACAAAUAUUCAUUAUUCAUUACAUUAUUAAAUUAUUCAUUUUUCAUUAAAUAUUUCAUGAAUACUAGCUCAACAGAUCAUUCUAGGUGCUUUGGAGGAUGAAAAGAUGAAUAGGAAUACAGAUCUUGCCCUGAAGGAACUUUAUGAAUGUUGUAAAAACAGGCAUUUAAAUAACUGUAGUGUAAGGUAAAAGUUAGUACAUAACUUUUUUAAUAAUUGUCAUUUCAGAGAUAACGUAUUCUGAAGUCCAUUAAGGGAAAGAUCACAUCCAGAGAAAUACUGGAAGAGGUGGAGGGUGUGCAUGGCUUUCUGUUUGUUUAGGAAAACAAGUAAAUAACUCUCCAAAGUCUCAGGGUAAUUCUUUGUGUUGGACUUUUUCUUUUUUCUUAAGCCUUCUCAAACCUAUCAGGUUUAAGAUUCUAGUUAGUGAUAUUUCCUACUUGCAAUAGCUGAGAAAAUUUGAGGUGCAAGACUUGACCAACCUUCUCUUGAGUAUGUUCGAGGAUGGGAGACUUGAAUGCAUGUGUCAAAAGAUGUCCAUGGAGAAGCAGGUAAUAAAGAUGCAAGAAAAACGAGUUGCUAGAUCUCCAAACAGGGAGAGAGGGCUGAGAUCUAGUUUCGGUUGGUAAAGGAAUAUAGUACUUCUCUAGGAUUAAAGAAAGGAUAAACUACAUGGACAUCUAGAGGAAACUUCAAGUGAAGAAGUGAUCCAUGUUGGAUUUUUGUCUUUGUUUGUUUAAUUAAAUAAUAAUACUGUUAAGUUUUUACAUAGUGCUUCCUACAUGUUUUCAGUGCUUUAUAUAGGUUAACUGGUUUAAUUCUCACAACUCUUGUUGUGAAGUAUGUAUUGUUCUUAUCCUCAUUUUGAAAAUGAUUGCGUGCAGAGGCCAAGUAGUUUUUCCAAAAUCACCCAGGUAGUGCUUUUAACCACUACACAAUGCUGACAGUUCAAUCAGCAUCUCUGGAGGUGUGAGGCCUGAGCAUCAGUUUGGGUUGCUUUUUGUUUUUGUUUUUUGGGUCUUUUUUUUUUUUUUUUUGGUGUGGAUUGAAAACUACUAAUGGGUAGAAAAUGAUUGGGGAUUGGAGCUACUUCACAUGGAAUGGCAAAGGACGGCAUCUGUAAUGUGGAGUGUCUGUCUACGUGGAGAGAAAGGGGGAGGAUGUGCACAGGCCUUGUUCUUGGUGCAGAAUGAAAGCCAUUGGCAGGAGAUAGUUUUUUCCCCCCGUUUCAAAUUGGGUUUUUAUCAGAGAUCCCAGCAUAAAUUUUUUUAAAAGACUAGAUAGUUGCUUUUUCUUUAAUUUUCCAUUUCUGUUGGAAAAGUAGCAACAAUAACAAAAAUAACUGUUUAUAGGGGAUUCCUUUCUAGAAGUUUUUUUUUUUUUUUUUGGUAAAGAUUUAAAUCCAGGCUUUCUAUUCGUCCUCCUUUUGAAAAAAAAAAAAAAAAAGUUUUGGAAUUUGCCAGCCUUUACUCAAAAUCCAUUUUUGUUUGUUCUCAUUCUGUUUAAUUCUGUGAUUAAAUAACAAACAUGGGCUAUGUCUCAGUCUUUUUUUUGCUGAUUCCUCUUUACAUGUGGCUUAUCUUCAUCCUGAAUGUCUUUCUUGAAAUCUGUACUCACAUAUUCACUUGUCUACUCAGCUUUGUCUCUUGGAUGACUAAUAGACAUCUCAACUCAAAAUAACCAAACUGGAACUGAUGAUCUGUCCACUCUCAAUCUGCUCUACCUACAUCUCCAAUCUCACUGAACUUUCCGUUUGAUCAGGCAAAACAUUGGAUCAUUCUUAACACACUUCUCUUUCUCAAAAAAUUCACACUGUCAACACAUUCUCUUGGCUCUGCCUCACAAAUUCAGUCAAUUUGAACUACCCCCAAUGCAACCACCCUGGUCCAAGUCACCAUUUCUAGCCUUAUUGAGAAAGCUCCUUACUGGUUCACGUUUUUUUUUGUCUUUUUUUUUUUUUGAGGCAGGGUCUCACUCCAUCAUCCAGGCUGAAGUGCAGUGGUGUGAUCUCGGCUCACUGCAACCUCCACCUCCCGGGUUCAAGCGAUCCUCCCACCUCAGCCCCCCAUGUAACUGGGACUAAGGUGUGCACCACCAUGCCUGGCUAAGUUUUUUGUAUUUUUUUUGUAGAGACAGGGUUUCACCAUGUAGUCCAGGCUGGUCUUGAACUCCUGGGCUCAAGUAAUCCACCUACCUUGGCCUCCCAAAGUGCUAGGGAAGGCAUGAGCCACCACACCUGCCUUCUUUGCUUCUACUCUCAUCUGCUUCUACUUGUAAGUUCUCAUUGUAGCAGCCAGUAGGCCUUUUAGAAUUUAAGUAAAAUUAUAUUACUUCUCUGCUGAAAACUCUCCAGUGAAUCCCCUAUUUUAUCUCAAUAAACUUACAGAGUUCUUCAGGUUCUGUGUGAUUAGGCCCCUGUCAUUCCUAUAUCCUAGUUCCUAGGGGCAUGACUCUCCCUGCCUCCUGUGCUUUAGCCACAUUGGCCUCAUUGCAGUUUCUCUAAAAUGUGCCACCUUAGAACUUUUCUUCUUAACUGUUUCCUUGGUGUGGAAUAAUACUCUUCUCUCAGUGAUCCACUGGCCUAUUUCCUCACCUCUUUUAAACCUUCAUUUAAAUCUCACCUUCUCCAUGAGGGACUACCUGGUUUAAUAACACAUCUUCCUCCUUCCCUCCACCCCAGCAUUUCAGGUCCUACAUCCUUGCCCUGCUCUGCUUUUUCUUUUUACCAUAGCAUUUAACACCCUGCAACUGAUUCUAUUUCUCUCCCUCUUCUGUAUACACAUACACAUUUGUGCACACAUGUUGGGAAAAAAACAAGUUUAUAGUCUUUCAUCCCAUUCCACAAGUUUGUGAGCCUUUGUCUUUGCACUGGAGAUACAUGUGGCUAAUGCUGAAAAUGAAUAGAUUAUGGUUCAUGCUUUUAGGGAGCUUAAAAUGUAAACAGACAUAGUAAUAGUGUUUUACUAUUGAUGGUAGCAACAAACAUUUGUUGAAUUCUUUUUUGAAACUUUACUAUGUGCCAGACACUGUUUUAAGACUUACAGUGGAUUAACUUAUUUAAUGUUCUCAAGUAUCCUAUUAGAUAGGUGUUAUUAACCUACUUCUUACAGGUUAGGAAACUGAGGCACUAAAAAGAUAACUACAGAUGGUCUCUGUCUUUUGAUGGUUUGACCUAGCAAUUUUUCAACUUUACAGUGGUGCAAAAGUGACAUUCUGUAGAAACUGUACUUCAGAUUUUGAUCUUUUAUUUUUACUAUUUUUAUUUUAUUUUAGAGACAGGGUCUUGCUUGUCACUCAGGCUGGAAUACAAUGGCUCAGUCAUAGCUCACUGCAACCUCAAACUCCUAGGCUCAAGCAAUCCUCUGUCCUUAGCCUCUUGAGUAGCUAGGACUACAAGAUGUGCUACCACACCUUGCUUUUUUUUUUUUUUUUUUGAGACAGAGCCUUGCUGUGUCGCCCAGACUGGAGUGCAGUGGCAUGAUCUCGGCUCACUGCAGCUUCCACUUCUCGGGUUUAAGCAAUUCUCAUGCCUCAGCCUCUUGAGUAGCUGGGAUUUUUUUUUUUUUUUUUUUUUAAGAUGGAGUUUCACUUUUGUUGCCCAGGCUGGCACGCAUUGGCGCAAUUUCGGCUCACUGCAACCUCCGCCUACCGGGUUCAAGCGAUUCUCCUGCCUCAGCCUCCCUAGUAACUGGGAUUACAGGUGCCUGCCAUCACACCCAGCUACUUUUUGUAUUUUUAGUGGAGAUGGGGUUUCACCAUGUUGGCAGGCUGGUCUUGAACUCCUGACCUCGUGAUCCACCCGCCUUAGCCUCUCAAAGUGCUGGGAUUACAGGCAUGAGCCACCACGCCCGGCCUAAUUUUAAAAUUUUUUUAUACCUAUGGGGUCUCGCUAUGUUACCCAGGCUGGUCUAGAACUCCUGGCCUCAAGUGAUCCUCCUGCCUCAGCCUCCUAAAGUGCUGGGAUUACAGGUGUGAGCCACCAUAUUCAGUGACCUAUCACUUUUAUAAGUUAUAGGGAAAAAAAUUCUCUAUAUUUUCUUCGUAUUACUAUACUUUGUGAUAUGGAUUCAUUGUUUUCCAUUUCUAAACAGAUACUCAGAUGUUAAAUUUAUCCAUGAAAAGAAAACGUUAUUAAAAUUUUAAAGCUCUAAAUAAUAAAUCAUCAAGGCCAAUUAGUAGAGUUAGAAAGAAACUUGAUGAUUGUCUGGCUCAAUUCUCUGAUUCUCUGUACAUAUAGUAAAAUUAUGUCCAAAAAGAUGAAAUAAUAUAUGGAAAGUUACACAGUUGGUUAAACCCCUCCCAUCUUCUAAAGGUAGUGAGGAAAAUUCAGAAUUAGCUGUAUAUGCAAAUUUUCUCUCUCUUAUCAGUCAACAAUUUAGACAAGUUUUCUAGUAAGAAAGGUAUGAGGACAGACAGAGGCUUGCUUUGUACCUGCUGUGUGCUAGGGACACACUCUUGCAAGUGAUUUCUGUCCUAAUAGAGCUGGGGGUCACGUUCUGUUAUGGGAGAGCUAUAAAGCAUGAUACAAUUAACAAAAAUAAUAGCUUUAUUUGAGGGCCUUCCUGUUCUACACACUGUGCUUUUUGAGAGGUGAUGGUUGUUUGUGAGAUUCAGUAUCUGGGAUAAUAAGAUAGGCGUUGAAAAAAGAAAAAGGGAAAAAAGUCAGCAUCCAACUGGAGAAGCAGAACCAGCAGGAUAUAUGUGUGCAUGUGAUUAGAUAGAGAUGGGAGUUGAAAUUGAAAUUGAUUGUUUAUUUGGUUUAUGUGAUUUUGGGGGCUGGACAAGCAAGUCUGAAAUCCUCAGGACAGGCUGUAACCCACAGGUAUGGCUAAAGUUGCUGUCCCCAGGUGGAAUUAUUUCUUCUCUCUAGGAAGCCCCUGUCGCACUUAAAGUCAGCUGAUUAUGGAUUUUUAUUGCAUGUAUGAUGCCUUCACAGCAACGCCUAGAUUAGUGUUUGAUUGCAUAACUAGGGUAGGGCCUAGCCAAACUGAUGCAUCAAAAAGACCGUCAUUUUGUUGUUUUCAUUUUUAUUGAAGUAUAUUAUGCACACAGAAAAAUGCAUAUAUCCUAAGUGUAUAGCUCAAAUAAUUGUUAUAAACUGGACACACUCAGGUAACCAGUACCCUACAGGGUCCCUUUUGUAUCUAUAUAUUUAAUUUGCUUCUUUUUUUUUUUUUUUUUUUUUUGAGACGGAGUCUCUCUCUGUCGCCCAGGCUGGAGUGCAGUGGUGCAAUCUCGGCUCACUGCAAGCUCCGCCUCCUGGGUUCACGCCAUUCUCCUGCCUCAGCCUCCCGAGUAGCUGGGACUACAGGCGCCCGCCAGUGCGCCCGGCUAAUUUUUUGUAUUUUUAGUAGAGAUGGGGUUUCACCGUGGUCUCGAUCUCCUGACCUCGUGAUCCGCCCACCUUGGCCUCCCAAAGUGCUGGGAUUACAGGCGUGAGCCACCGCGCCCGGCCUAAUUUCCUUCUUAUAACAGUUCAUUGAGGUGUAGAGAUUUCCUGCAUUUUAUAGAUAAGGAUUCUAAGGCUCAGAAAGGUCAAGUACCCUGUGUUACAGCUAAUAAGUGACAGAGCUGGGAUUCUAAUCAGGGUUUUGAGGCAUAUAUAAAGUAUUAUGGGAGCCCAAGGCUGAAAUUGAUUCAUUCAUUGGCGUAUAUGAUUGUGGGGGCUAAACCAUUAGUUUUGCUUGGGGAUUGGUAGAAUCUUUGGAACAGGAAUGUUCUACCAAAGAGGGUAUAUGAAGCUUUGGGUUGUCUUAAAGCAUGAAUUUAAAUUUGCCAGGGAGUGAAAAGUUCCUUUGUAAAAGGUACCAGCAAAAAGAUAUGAUAUCAUUUCAGGGGACAAUGGUUUGUUGUUGCUAACUAUAGAGUCUUUACACUGUAUCGUCAUAGUAUUAAUCUCUUAGAGUAAUAAUUUUCAGCUCAAAAAGGACCUCAUGUACUAUUUUGAAGAGCUUGAAUUUUUAUGUUUUAGUCAGUGUGACAUGAGAGUGAGUUAAUUGUAUCUGCAUUUUAGCAAACAUUUUCACAGUGAUUUACAAAAUAGGUUAGAAAGGCUGAAGGCAGAAAGAUCUGGUUCUUAGUGAGAACCAGAACUAGAGCACUGAUGAUUCAGAGGAGGGUAGAGCAUGGAAUUUAUGAAGACUUGCAGAGAGAAUUGAUGAGAUUGGUGAACCAUUAGAGCUGGAUGAUGAAAGAAGUGGAGUAAUUAAGGAUGAUUCCAAGUUUCUUUUAAGUAUGAUCCAUUGGGAAACAAUUCCAGAGAUUAGGAAAUACUGAAGGAGAAGCUGUGUUUUGGUCUUUUCUAUCAUGGGUAGGGUGAAUCACAGGUUGAUUGGGAGGAUGAUGAACAAGAGAAUGAAAAAGAAUGAAUUCGGUUCCGUAAGUUUGAGUUUUGGAGCUGAAGGUAUUGAAGUGUAAAUGUUUAGUAGGCAGUUGGAAAUAAUUGGAGUGAAGUUAAGGUGGUGGAUUUGAUAAUCACUGACUAAUUUAUAGAAGUAGGUUGAGGACCAGCCUGGCAACAUGGUGAAACCCCGUUUCUACUAAAAUACAAAAAAUUUAGCUGGGCAUGGUGGUAUAUGCUGGUAGUCCCAGCUACUCAGGAGGCUGAGGCAGGAGAAUUGCUUGAACCCGGAAGGCGGAGGUUGCAGUGAGCCAAGAUUGCGCCACUGCACUCCAGCCUGGGCGACAGAGCGAGACUCCGUCUCAAAAAAAAAAAAGAAAGAAAAAAGAAAUAAGUUGAAGCCACGGGACUGGAUUCGUCCUCUCAAAUGAAAAGUAAUGAAAGGCAGAGUGGAGAGUGUUGAGGAAGACCUCCAGUAUUUUCAGGGUUGUAUGGAAGAAGAGGAGUUGGUUGUCAUAGAAUUAAGACAUCAAGGAGAUAAUCAUAGCCUGACAAAGCCAGGAGAGAUUAUUUUCAAGGAGGUUGUAGGCAGAUACAUUAUAUAGAUAUAGUUUAUGGACACAAAUAUAUUUGUCUUCAGUAAAUUGUGCUGGGAAAACUGGAUAGCCAUGUGCAGGAAUAAAUUAGACCUCUGUCUCUCACCAUAUAGAAAAAUCAGCUCAAAGUGGAUGAAAGACUUUGGUCUUUCAAAACUAGACCCAAAACUGUAAAACUACUAGAAGAAAAUAUUGGGAAAAUGCUUCAGGACAUUGGUCUAGGCAAAGAUAUUAUGGAUAAGUCUUCAAAAGCACAAAAAGCAAACAAAAAGGCAACAAAAGCAAAAAUAGACAAAUGGGAUUAUAUCAAACUAAAAUCCUUCACAGCAAAGGAAACAAUCAAUAGAGUGAAAACACAACUUUUAGAAUGGGAUAAAAUAUUUGCAAACUAUUUAUCUUACAAGGGAUUCAUAUACAAGGAACUCAACAAUAAAAAAAAAAAUCUGAUUUUAAAAUGAGGGAAGGAUCUGAAUGGACAUUUGUCUAAAGAAGACACGCAAAUGGCCAUCAAGUAUAUGAAAAAAUGCUCAGCAUCACUAAUCAGGGAAAUGCAAGCCAAUACCGCAGUGAGAUAACAUCUCAUCUUAGUUAGAAUGGCUAUUAUCAAAAAGACAAAAAAGAACAUGCUGGUGAGGAUUCAGAGAAAAGAGAAUUCUUAUACACUCUUGGUGGGAAUUUAAAUUAUAGUCACUAAGAGAAACAAUAUCAAGAUUCCUCCAAGAACUAAAAAUAAAACUACCGUAUGAUCCAGCAGUCCCACUACUGGGUAUUUAUCCAAAGGAAAAUAAAUCAUUAUAUCAAAGUAGUGUUAAUAUCUGCACUCCCAUGUUUGUUGCAGCACUAUUCACAGUAGCUAAGAUAUAGAAUCAACCUAAGUGUCCAGCAGUAGAUGAAUGGAUAAUGAAAAUGUGGUAAAUAUACACAAUGGAAUACUAUUCAGCCAUAAAAAAGGAUGAAAUCCUGUCAUUUGUGGCAACAUGGGUGAGACUGCAGGACGUUACGUAAAGUGAAAUAAGUCAGGUACAGAAAAGUAAAUACUGCAUGUUCUCAUAUCCACAAUAAGUAAUAGCUUAAAAAGUUGAGCUCAUAAAGGCAGAAAGUAGAAUUGUGGGUAUUAGAGGCCGGGAAGGGUAGGGGAAAGGUGAGGAUAGGGAGUGGUUGGGUAAUAGGUACAAAAUUACAGCAGGAAUAAGUUCUCCUGUUCUGUAGUACUAUAGGGUGACUAUGAUUAAUAAUUUCUUGUAUAUUUUCAAAUAGCUACAAGAGAGGAUUUUUGAAUGUUACCAACAUAACAAAAAAAUGAUAAAUGUUUGAGGUGAACAGAUAUGCUGAUUACCCUGAUUGAUCAUUACACAUUGUAUACAUGUAUAUCACUCUUAUAAAUAGGUACAAUUAUAUGUCAAUUAAAAUUAAAAAAAAAUUUUUAAGAACACGGAAACUAGGUGUAGUGGCACAUGCCUGUAGUCCCAGCUACCUGAGAGGCUAAGGUGGUAGGAUCUCUUGAGCUCAAGAGUUUGUGGCCAGCCUGGGCAACAUAGUGAGACCCUACCUCUUUUUAAUAAAAAAAAAAAGAGGAAGAAGAAGAAUAUGGAAUCCUGAAAAUGAGGAACCAAAGAAAUAAGCAUUUUCUGUAUUUAACCAACACUUAGUCAGAAUGAGAUUAGUAUUACUAGAGUGAUAUAUAUUCUCUCUUGUGAAGUGGGAAAGGGUUUUCUGGUUCUUCUAUCACUUAAAUGAUUACCAAACUCUUAGAUGAUUCUUGAAGUCUCUCAAGAAAACGUGUGAUUUCUAACUAUAUAUAUUUUUUCUAUACCAUAUGAAAAAAUUGGGGAUGUUAAAUAAUUGCUCACCUAUUUUGAACUUUCACACCUUUUAAAAGAUCAUUUUUCUUUCAUGCUAGGUUUUGGACAUAGAGCAAAUUCCUUUGGUAUGCUUGAUAACUAACUCUUUUAACUUAGAAAAACUGUUCUUUUGUCUUCUGUCCUACACCUGAAAGUCUGUUCAAAAGAGUUAAAAAUUGGGUAAAAUGAGUUUGACUUUGGGCCUUUUGUAAUAGAACAAAGAAGAAAACUGUAAGAUCACAUGUUUUGAAAUUCCAGUUUCUUUUCACUGUCAUUUCUUCAGAAAGAUUUUCUCCAUCCCAGCCGGGCAUGGUGUAGCUCAUGCCUAUAAUCCCGGCAUUUUGGGACGCCGAGGGGGAUGGAACACCUGAGGUCAGGAGUUUGAUACCAGCCUGGCCAACAUAGCAACACCCUGUCUCUACUAAAGAUACAAAAAUUAAUCGGGCAUGGUGGUGUGCGCCUGUAAUGCCAACUACUUGGGAGGCUGAAGCAGGAGAAUUGCUUAAACCUGGGAGGCGGAGUUUGCAGUGAGCUGAGAUCAUGCCACUGCACUCCAGCCUGGGUGACAGAGCAAAACUCCAUCUCAAAAAACAAACAAACAAACAAACAAACAAAGAUUUUCUUCAUUCCUUUUGUCUAAAUUAAUUAUCAUUUGUUUGUUUUUUGAGACAGAGUCUCAUUCUGUUACCUACCCUGGAGGUCAGUGGUGUGAUCAUAGCAGCCUUGAACUCCUGGGUUCAGACUAUCCUCCCACCUCAGUCUCUCAAGUAACUGGAACUACAGAUGUGCACCACCACACCCAUCUUUUUUUUUUUUUUUGUCUUUUUUUGUUUUAAAAGACUGUCUCCCUAUGUUGCCCAGGCUGGUCUUGAACUCCUGGGCUCAAGGCCUACCUUGGCCUCCCAAAGUGCUCGGAUUACAGGCUUGAGCCACAGCACCAAGUUUGUUACCCUUUCUCAUAGCACUCUAUUUUCUUUCAAAUCAGUCAUUAUAAUUAUUUCAAAUUAUUCAUAUACAGUAUAUUAUUUCAGUAUUCAGUUUGUUUAAUUUCUCUACCUGAACUAGACUGUAAGCUCUGUACACAGGAACCAUGUUGGUUUUCCACACUACUGUAUUUUCAAGUCCUAGUGCAGUGAUACUUAGCAUUCAAUAAAGACUUUGAGUAAGUGAGUGAAUGAAUGAAUGAAUGGUGACUGCUUUUAGUAUUUUUAGAAGUGCAGGAUGCUAUCAAUUAAGCAGCCUUUGUCUAGUGUGAGGAUGAGGAAAUGUUUCUUAGAGGACUUGAAAAUGAGUAAGAAGGGGGUAUGGUAUUCAGUAUCCAAUUUUCCUUAGAGGGCAAGUAGGAUGAAUAUAGAAAAUUUUCCUUUAAAUUUAGAAAUGUGGGAGUCAUUCAUGACCGUAAUGGGGUCAAUUUUAAUAGAGUGAAGGAAUGCAAUUCAGAUUCCAUUUGCUUGUGAAAUGAAUUAGCGAGAAAACAGAGCAAGGAGCUUUUCCCAGAAAAGUAGAUCUCAGACACUUAUUGCUGGCUUAUUUGUUUGUUCAUAGGGGAGUAUGAUAAAAUGAACUAUUACUAUGCUUUAAAUAUUUUCACUGUAACACAAAAAACAAAAGUGCACAAAACCAGUACUGUAGUAGAGGCUACCAGAAGGACCUGGUUAGUUGUCAUCUGUGAGUUUAGCUGCCAUAUUUAUCUUUCACAUUGAAAUAUUAAAUG